rnacentral:rRNA from 1 species
UACGAAGGGGGCUAGCGUUGCUCGGAAUUACUGGGCGUAAAGGGAGCGUAGGCGGGUUAUCAAGUUGGAGGUGAAAGCCCAGGGCUCAACCUUGGAAUUGCCUUCAAAACUGAUAGCCUAGAGUAUGAUAGAGGUAUGUGGAACUCCGAGUGUAGAGGUGAAAUUCGUAGAUAUUCGGAAGAACACCAGUGGCGAAGGCGACAUACUGGGUCAUGACUGACGCUGAGGCUCGAAAGCGUGGGAGCAAACAGG